rnacentral:rRNA from 1 species
GAUGAACGCUGGCGGCGUGCCUAAUACAUGCAAGUAGAACGCUGAAGGAGGAGCUUGCUCUUCUGGAUGAGUUGCGAACGGGUGAGUAACGCGUAGGUAACCUGCCUGGUAGCGGGGGAUAACUAUUGGAAACGAUAGCUAAUACCGCAUGACAACAGUUAUUGCAUGAUAACUGUUUAAAAGGGGCAACUGCUCCACUACCAGAUGGACCUGCGUUGUAUUAGCUAGUUGGUGAGGUAACGGCUCACCAAGGCGACGAUACAUAGCCGACCUGAGAGGGGGAUCGGCCACACUGGGACUGAGACACGGCCCAGACUCCUACGGGAGGCAGCAGGAGGGAAUCUUCGGCAAUGGACGGAAGUCUGACCGAGCAACGCCGCGUGAGUGAAGAAGGUUUUCGGAUCGUAAAGCUCUGUUGUAAGAGAAGAACGAGUGUGAGAGUGGAAAGUUCACACUGUGACGGUAUCUUACCAGAAAGGGACGGCUAACUACGUG